CUGCUCGGUGAAUUUUUUUAACGGCUGCGGUAUUUUAACUGUACUAAGGUAGCAUAAUAAUUUGCCUUAUAAUUUGAGGCUAGAAUGAAUGGUUUGACGAAGGUUAAUCUGUCUCUGCCCUAUUUUUUAGAAUUUAAUUUUCAUAGUGAAAAAGCUUGAAUUUUUUAGAGGGACGAGAAGACCCUAAUGAGCUUUUAAUUUUAUUAUGAUUUGUGUUAAUUUAUUGAUUAGGUCAUUUAUAAAUUUUAAUUGGGGUGAUUAAGGAAUAAAUUCUAUUCUGUGUAACUUCCUUAGGAAAUAAAUAUCUUUAGAUAAAGUAACCAUUUUUUUAUUGCUUAUAAUAUAGUUACCAUAGGGAUAACAGCGUAAUUUGUUUAGAGAGUUCUUAUUGAAAAACGAGAUUGCGACCUCGAUGUUGGAUUAAAGUAACCUUAAGGUGCAGAAGCUUUAAGAAGGUAAAUCUGUUCGAUUUUUAAAACUUUACAUGAUCUGAG
rnacentral:rRNA from 1 species